GCCCAGUUUUCAAGUUGGUUCAAAUCAGGAUCCAAAAUUAACAUAUUAAGUAUUGUGCAAUAGCAAGAAAUUUUCAAUUGCACAGUAUUCAGCAAUAGCAAGAAAUCUUCAAUUGCACAGUAUUGUGCAAUAGCAAAAAAUGUUCAAUUGCACAGUAUUGUGCAAUAGCAAGAAAUCUUCAAUUGCACAGUAUUGUGCAAUAGCAAAUAUUUUCAAUUGCACAGUAUUGCGCAAUAGCAAGAAAUAUCUAAUUGCACAAUAUUGUGCAAUAGCAAGAAAUUUUCAAUUGAUUGGAGUUAUCUUUCUUUGUCCAGAAUAGUAGUUGAAUCAACUUAAAUCAUUGUUUUAUACAAUGCACAAUGUAUAUUCACUUUUACUACCAACUGAUAAAUUAAAACACUCUUUACCAUUCAGUGAUAACAAGCACUUUUUGUUACAUUUUAAUGUUUUAUAAUGUAUUUAAAUGAGUAGUUAUUGUUGCAAACUCCAUUAGAAAUUUGAAUUGAGAUCAGUUUUGAAAAAAGGGAAAGGGGGAUGUGAAAAAAAAAGGUGGGGGGGGGGGGUGGGGGUUGUUUAAUUUUUCUCAUUUCUGAUUUCAUAAAUAAAAAGAAAAUUUCUUCAAACAUUUUUUGGAGAGGAUUAAUAUUCAACAGCAUAAUGAUUGCUCAAAGACAAAAAAAUUAUUUUAAGUUCGUUAGACCACAUGCAUUCUGUGUCCAAAACCUAUGCUGUGUCAACUAUUUAAUCACAAUCCAAAUUUAGAGCUGAAUCCAUCUUGAAUGUUGUGUCCAUACUUGCCCCAACCGUUCAGGGUUCAACCUAUGCGGUCGUAUAAAGCUGCGCCCU
rnacentral:lncRNA from 1 species